GUAGAAUUUCAGGUGUAGCGGUGAAAUGCGUAGAGAUCUGAAGGAAUACCAGUGGCGAAGGCGGCCACCUGGACAAAGACUGACACUGAGGCGCGAAGGCGUGGGGAGCAAACGGGAUUAGAUACCCCGGUAGUCCACGCAGUAAACGAUGUCUAUUAGAAGUUUGUGGCUAUAUGCCGUGGGUUUCAAAGCUAACGCAUUAAAUAGACCGCCUGGGGAGUACGGCCGCAAGGUUAAAACUCAAAUGAAUUGACGGGGGCCCGCACAAGCGGUGGAGCAUGUGGUUUAAUUCGAUGCAACGCGAAGAACCUUACCAUCCCUUGACAUCCAGAGAAUCGCCUAGAGAUAGAUGAGUGCCUUCGGGAAUUCUGAGACAGGUGCUGCAUGGCUGUCGUCAGCUCGUGUUGUGAAAUGUUGGGUUAAGUCCCGCAACGAGCGCAACCCUUAUCCUUACUUGCCAGCGGGUUAUGCCGGGAACUUUAGGGAGACUGCCGGUGAUAAACCGGAGGAAGGUGGGGACGACGUCAAGUCAUCAUGGCCCUUACGGGAUGGGCUACACACGUGCUACAAUGGCAGAUACAAAGGGUUGCUAACCAGCGAUGGUAUGCGAAUCUCAUAAAGUCUGUCGUAGUCCGGAUCGGAGUCUGCAACUCGACUCCGUGAAGUUGGAAUCGCUAGUAAUCGUGGAUCAGAAUGCCACGGUGAAUACGUUCCCGGGCCUUGUACACACCGCCCGUCACACCAUGGGAGUGGGCUGCACCAGAAGUCAUUAGCUUAACCUUUCGGGGAUGGCGAUGACCACGGUGUGGUUCAUGACUGGGGUGAAGUCGUAACAAGGUA
rnacentral:rRNA from 1 species